CACGAGAGGCGUCGGAGCUCCUCCUCUUCCGUCCUGUCUCCCUCCUCCUUCGCCCUCCACUCCACCUUCGCCAUGGUCUUCUUCUCCUCGAAUCCAUGGCGAUCACCGAAGCUCUUCCCAAAUCCGCAGCCUCCUCCGAUGGCUAUUUCUUCGCCUCCACAUGGGAGCAGCUGAGCGAUCCGAAUGCUCCUUCAUUUGAUAAACCCUAUCUCUCAUGGCAUUAAAUUUCGAGAUACAAUUGGACUGAAGUGGCCUCAUGUUGCUGCCUAUAACAUUUCCAACCUUCCCAAAUAUCUUUCGCAUAUCGGUGAGAUUGGAAAUAUGUAGAAAAGCUUUAAUUCCAUCUUGGAUGUGAUGCAACGCCUAUUCUUUGGCCACAAUUGCAGGCUAUUCUUUCAAUGUUAACUGUCGAUGUUUAAGAUGUGUCUUUUUCUGGGUUUGCAUCAGGAGUAAAAUAAAAAUAUUAUAUAUAUGCCGCAGAAUACAUUUGUAGAUCUCAUUUAACUUUAAUAAGAUUAUAAAGUAUCAAUCUUCCAGU